AUGGCGCGACCGAAGAGGCAGCGGCGUCCCUCCAUGCUUGCGGAGUCCUGGAGGCACGGUCGGGUGACCGUGCGUGGGGUGACAGUGUGCGGGGAUGGCGGUGCCUCAUCCGGCACGGAGGUGGAGGGUCGCGGAGGCUCGGUGGCGCUGCGACCCGGGCCAACGUCUUCAUCUCCAGGCUACGCGACCAGCGUCGGGCCAGCGGCUUGGGUCAUCCCUCCGGCACCGUUUCGAAACAACACGAAGAUGAAGAAGCCGGGCUCGUCAGCCGGCGAUGGAGGGGAAUCCGCGCUGGAGCCGCGAGCUGGGGCUGGCCAUCGUUGGGGCAUGGCGGCAUGGUGGCCAAGUCCAGCUCCUCGGCGUCCAGAUCGGCGGAGGCGGUGUUACAGCCUGGCAAAGUCGACGGUGUUCGCCUACUCCAUGAUGGCCACAGGCUGA
rnacentral:rRNA from 1 species